UAUGUGAGGUAUAUGGAUGAUGUUUGCCUAUAUGGAAGGGUGAGCAGCAGAGUACCAGAUUGAUAGAAAUUAUGGCAGAUGAAACACUAUGGCUUAGCUAGAGGAUGGAGCAGGUUACUGAAAAGUCGUUCCAUUUCUUAGAUGUUAAUGUUGAGAAUGAGGCUGAAGAGUAUAUCACAUGUGUAUAUAGGAACCCCUCUUACACACCUGUCAUUAUAUUAGCGUGGUCGCGUGGUAUAUAAGUUGGCUGCGUUUAGGGCCAUGGUUAAUAUAACCAUAUCACUAGAUGGCGAGAUAGAGAGGAGGAAUUUGCCUAUAUAUGUGCACAAGGAUCUAAAUAUGGAUAUAAGAAAGCUGUUAUAGAAGGGGUUAUGAGGAAAAUUAAGAGCGAUAUAGAAGCAACUACACCCAGGCAACCCCGAUGCCAGCAGGCUGAAAGUGCUUCAUUCUCCCAGGUUACAUAUUACUGAUGUACUGAUGGGGUCUUUACCAGAGCUAUAAAAGAAGAAUGGCAAAGAAGAAAGGAUGUACCCUAUUUGCGUUACUCUGUAACGACAAAGAUAUAAUAGAAAUGAAUAGGAAGACAGGGAUUUAUGAUAUCUCUGUUUAUAAUAAUGAUGAGAUGGCUAUGCAAUACUACAUUGGUAGUACGAAGAGGGGAUUGUAUACAAGGAUAAAGGAGCAUACAUGUGAAAUUCAGGCAGGGAGGCUUAACACAGCCUUAGCCCUCAAAGCCUAUGAACAUGAUCUAGUUCAGUGUUUCUCAAUUAUUGAUACUGCAGAUCAAUAAAAAUUUUAAGCUUGUAUUGUGGACCACACAAACCAAAUUGAAGAAAGUCAGGAUUUUUUUGUAAUUUGCAG
rnacentral:lncRNA from 1 species